UACGGAAGGCAGCAGGGGGAAUAUUGCACAAUGGGCGCAAGCCUGAUGCAGCCAUGCCGCGUGUAUGAAGAAGGCCUUCGGGUUGUAAAGUACUUUCAGUCGUGAGGAAGGUGUUAAGGUUAAUAACCUUAGCAAUUGACGUUAGCGACAGAAGAAGCACCGGCUAACUCCGUGCCAGCAGCCGCGGUAAUACGGAGGGUGCGAGCGUUAAUCGGAAUUACUGGGCGUAAAGGGCACGCAGGCGGUUAAUUAAGUUGGAUGUGAAAUCCCCGGGCUUAACCUGGGAAUGGCAUUCAAGACUGGUUAGCUAGAGUCUUGUAGAGGGGGGUAGAAUUCCAUGUGUAGCGGUGAAAUGCGUAGAGAUGUGGAGGAAUACCGGUGGCGAAGGCGGCCCCUGGACAAAGACUGACGCUCAUGUGCGAAAGCGUGGGGAGCAAACAGGG
rnacentral:rRNA from 1 species